GGAGAGGUGGAUGAGUGGUUUAAGUCGCACGCCUGGAAAGCGUGUUAUCCCCCCCUCUCCGCCA
rnacentral:tRNA from 1 species